UUUCGUGAAACAGAAUCAUGGCUGCCACAACUUCAUCUUUCAUAACUUCCCAGUUUUUCUUAAGGAAGUUAAAAUUGAACCCAUCCGGCCCUGGACUCUUCGUGCCUUCACACUGCCACACAGCAUCUCUUAUUUCCUUUUCUGUGAAAACAGCUAUCAAACUCAGACUGGCCUCUGACGAGAGAGACUUAAACUCAACCCCAUCAAGCCUUACUCCGAGGUCUUUCGUUGCCUUGAACCUAGCCUCAAACAGCUUCUUUGCUUUUAGACGCACCGUACAAGGUUCCUCACACCAUUGUCCCCUUACCUCCACUCCUUUAACUUCAUUUCUAAGUCUUCUCCAUCUCAGAGUGGAAUGGUAGAAUCUGGUACAAGAAUCACCAUACUUGAGCCAGCUUACUCUGGAUUUUUGGCACGCUAAAGAGUCCAACUUCUUAUCAAGUUCCCUUAGGCGAGUUACCAACACACUCCUUUUCAACCUAUCAGCCUCUGUAAGGAUUCCAGAACAGUCUUGACAGUCAAAAACCUCAAUUUCCUGUAGAGUUCUCUUCUUACUUGUAUUGAUAUCACCGAACACAUCCUUAUUCCAUACCUUUAGGUCACCCUUUAGACACUUCAGUUUUUCUUUAAACUUUACAAAGGCACUCCCCUGAACUGGGUAGGAAUUUCACUUCUCUUUCACCAUUUCACA
rnacentral:lncRNA from 1 species